UAAUGGCUUUCAUAAUAGUGACAGUGCUGUAAAUUCAGAUGCAAGGACUCCGAACAAGAAUACUCGGACAGGACCAACCUUGGUUCCACCUCCUCCUUAUAAAAGACCUGAUACUUUUUGGACUAUAUGCAACAACAAAUGUAAGACACAGUAUGAGUAUCUGAGGAUUUAUCUAAAUCACACCCUCCUAUGCCCAAAUUGUCAUGAAGCUUUUUUUGCUGUAGAGAAGGCUCCACCUCCAAGCGUUAUGAAGCC
rnacentral:misc_RNA from 1 species